AUUUUAAAUUGACACAUAGUUUAAAUGCAGCCGUGCUUGCUUGUGAUUCUGAUUUACACUUGAAACACUAAAUGCUGGUGUGAUUUGACAGGAGUUAACUUUCUGCAAUAUCUGUAAAAAAGCUUGGAAAUGUUGAAAUUAAGUUGUUAAGUACAAUCUGACCAAGAUAACAUUAUGCAUUCAGUGUUCUCUAGCAUGAGAAAACAAUUAAGUGUACCAUUUAUAGAAAAAGUCAUUCCUAAGCAAUGCAUAUCAGGAAUCUCAGGGUCUCCAGUACAGCACACUGCUUUCUUUAAUAUUGCAGAGCUUGAACAGAGACGUGCUGAGAUCACAUAGCUUCACUAAUGUGUAUAUUUGCAAUCUGAAUGUCCCAACAUACCUUUACGAAAUGAUGAGGUUCGAGCUAGUGCAAUUGCUCAGGAUGCUGAUCAGAACUACGACUAUGCCAGUAACAGUGUGGUUCUUCAUUUGGAGCCAGGAGAUGAAGUUUACAUUAAAUUAGAUGGAGGAAAAGCACAUGGAGGAAACAACAAUAAAUACAGCACAUUUUCUGGAUUUAUUAUUUAUGCUGACUGAUAACGAGUAAAAAGACCCACCAAAUCAACCCAAAAAUGAAGCUUGCUCUUCUGGGCAAUGGAUUUGCGUGGCAAAAGUCAAUGAAUCAAGCACCCCAGCGGAGAUCAACCACAGAACACCUCAGUAGCGGGGAAAAAAAAUCAAAUGCUACCUGAUUCACAUCUGUACAACACGGAGAAACCUUAUGUUAAAAAAUUACAAAGCAAGUUAAACAGAUGUGUGAUCCACUACCGCCAAAGCAAAUACAUUUAUUGUUAGUGUCCAUGUGAAUGAAGUCCUACAUAGAUCAAAUUUUUAUAGAAGAAAAAAAAAAACGAAAGACACUGAGUUAUUUCUUCAGUGUAUAUGAUACUUCAGUGUGUUAUGAUCUUGCUGCUUUAUCCAUACAUCAGCUUUGGUUCUUGUGACUUACUUGCUAACAAUGAUGCUUGGAGUCCACUCAGUGUGGUGAGGAAUGAUUUUACAAUAAAAGGAAGAGGUAAUCAAAAUAUACUUUCUCUCUCCAAAGGAAUUGUUUGCCUUGUACUUUUCUUAUCCUUCCACUUAAAACUAGAAACUAAUCAGCUUCAAGCCUUAACUCAGUGUUCCUGCUUUGUAGGUUUACAUUAGAUUUUUAACAUAAAAUCAAACCACUAAAGUUGUUUAUCUUGUCUUCCCCUUAGCUCUGUUCUAAAAGAAAAAGAAGGGUAGAAGAAACACUUUUUCUAAAAAAGAUGUAACAGUUGACUAACUAUUAUAUUGGACCAAAUCCCUGAUUCCACUGAAGCCAAUGGCAAAUGUCCCACUGAUUUUAGUGGAAACAAGAUUUGGCUCUUAAUAUAUAAACAUGUGUAAAUAUAUAUUUAGACAAUUUGACAGGCCCAUUCUUGACGGUUUGUUGUGUAAAUAUUUAGCAAGCCUAGCAUCUGUAUCCUCAGACCAAGGUAGAAUGUUUUUUUUGCUGCAGUCAGUCCUCAUUAGUCUUUCAGCACUUAGUCUGUACUUGGGUACUAUUUCUAAUAAAAUAGUUAUGACUUAACAUACUGCAGAUGUUCAACUAGAAUUCUGUAUUAAUAUAAUGGGUCAAAACCUUAUUCAUGCUAGGUAUCUUGUCUCACUGAAGUUAGUGGGAGUACUCUCACGGAGGAAGAGUGGGAGAUUUGACACCAGAGAAAAUGUCACACAGACCUUUUCCAUGGUAGCUUAUUAUCAGUUUGUAGUAAGGUGUGCCUAUGAAAUGGACACAGAUAAGCAUAUUACCAAAAAUGAUAACACAUAUGCAAAGAAAGAAGCAGAUAUUUAAAUGCAAAAAGUGUGUAUUAAAACCUAUUUUUCUCAUUCAUAUAUAAACAUACUCUCUCUCUCUCUCUCUCUCUCUCUCUCUCUAUAUAUAUAUAUAUAUAAAGUCUCAAGGAAGCUUAAUCCAUAUAAAGGAUUAAUGACUUGGAGCAUUGAACUAAAGACAGGUAAUAUGAGUUACAUAGUUAUAAAAAUACUUUAGAAUCAGUCAUAGAAGUAAUAUCCACAGAAUAUUUAUAUUCUGAAAAAAGAAUUAUUAUUUGUUUUGUUUUUGGGAGGGGAGGCUGUCUAUUUCUCUCAGGUUAAAAUUUGCAGAUUUCAAUCCAAAACAAAAUAUUAGCAAGAUAAUUAACUAGCUUCCUAGCAUAGCUGGGUAUGUUAAUUAUUUUUAACAUUUUGGCAAGAUCAAGGUAAUAUCUGUACAAACUGUUAAAGAGUAAUAGAUGCUAUCCCUAGCAUUUCCAUUUCAUAUAAUUUGCGAGAAGCAACUUUGUCUACUCUACUAAGUAAAGGGUUCAAACUCAGAUUUAUCUGCAUUAAAAUGUCAAGAGUGUCUGCCAUUGUGACAAAAAAAAAAAGCUCUUCUGUGCUGACUGCUCAGUAGAAGUUUGGUGAAGAUUUUAAGAACCUCUCUAAAAAAAAAUCUCUUGUUUAAAUGAGUGAAGCUUUUCUUAAACAGAACACGUUAUUCUUUCUGUUUGUGUUUUGGAUAGUUGUCCAAUUCAAAAUAUAUGCCUAAGUUAGUCUAUGUUCACUAAGAGGAUUGCCAGUCUAGCUCAUCUAGAUUUUAUAAAGGGACAUUGUGCUUCAUAUUGCUUGUGUAUUAUGUCAUCAGACUGGUUAAGCUUUCACUCUACGACAAAGUGCCAACCUAUAUCUGUUCAUUGUAGUGGUUACUCCUGUUUUUUUUUUCUACUACGUAAUGUAUUUUAAUAAUGGUUGUGUAACUGACUUCAUGUCUAUUCAUUCCAUAGUUGCUUUUAUUGGUUAGUGCGCUCACAGCAGUGUAGCUAGAGAUUUUGUAUGUAGUAUCAAACGACAAUGUAUCAAGCUAGAGAUCAUUACAACUAGCAAUGCAUAUUUACUAAGGUAUUUAUUGGAAAAGCUCAUUACUAUAAGACAUACGAGGUUAAAUUUGAAGAAGCUUUUGAAAUCAGACUGCCAUUGCUACUGCAAAAGACCUUUUAUUUGGAUAAAUCACUUGCCCUGGUUAAUGUUAGACAAGAGGAAAGAACAAACUUUAUGUGAAAAACACGCAUAAGGCAAACAUUUCUUCCUUUUUCAUCAUAUCUUGAUACACUGAUUUGUAAAGACUUAUCUCACAAUCUUUGUUAUAACUAUAGCAACUCAUUAAAACUGUAUUAUGUAGUAUA